AGGAGGAACAGCCCCAGUGGCGGGGCAGCUCUGGAAACCUUGAUUCAGCUCCGGCAGGAACUCCGUCUGCAGGGCCUGGAGGCUCCGGGGCGGG
rnacentral:pre_miRNA from 1 species